UACUCUUAAAUGGGAAGAUAUGGAGCUCUUUGGUACUUUCACAGCUGGACCUUCCUGUAAUUCAGGUUAUGGUCUCUCCUAUUUGGCUAAUGUCAGCGACCACCCUGUAAUGAGGGGACAGGUAGCAAUUCGCAUUUGAAAUCUGGGGGAUUAGAAUCAUUUCCGUAACAUGGGCAGCUUGACCUCCCUGUAACUAGGGUUUGGUCUCCGAGGCCCUUUGGGUGUCUUGGCCUCGUGCUGUCUUCACAGCGUGCUGCGAAGGACCGCCCUGUCAUCAGGGACGGGUCUUUGCCCUCUAGUCUCUUGGCACUAGGCCAAAUGCAGCCACUGCCCCGAAUGAGCACCCUGUAAACAGGGUACAGGUCUCAUCAGCUGUUAUUUAUGGUGCCCCCAUGAGACUGUCCAGAGUUCCAGCCCAUUAAGCAGCGCUUGCAACGUGCCUGGAAUUCUGCAGCCAAGUCUCCUGCUUUCUACUCCCUUCUUGGACUCUUGGAGACCUGACUUGCUAUUGGUGGCAUCGUGAAGCACAAGUGGAGAAGAAGGAAGUGUCAGGAAUGCCACAGACAGAGGAGAAAAGAAGAUGGAGGAAAAGGAAAGGAACUCUGGGCACAGUACCCUCCCUCAAAUCAGCCUCAGGUCAUGUAAUUAGACUGUAUGGGAAUCUGGAGCCUUUUAAUACCUUGAGCAGAGUGACCGCCCUGUAAGCUGGGUCCCGGUCUGUCCCCUUUGGACAUUCUGCUCCGUCAUCUGGCUAGUGUGCGUGACUGCCCUGUAAUCAGGGUGCCAGUCACCUCCCCCUAAAUGUGGAGGGGCAUUGAGCUCUUUCUUUAAUUGAGCAUUGUGACCGCCCUGUAACCAGGGUCCGGGUCUCUGCCCACUUGCUCAUUUGGCAUUACGCCGUGCUCUGCCCCACUAGUCAGCGUGACAACCCUGUAAUUAUGGUUCAUGUCACAAGGCUCUCCAGAAUGGGACAUAUCGAGCUCUUUGGUACUUUCACAGCUGGACCUUCCUGUAAUUCAGGUUAUGGUCUCUCCUAUUUGGCUAAUGCCAGCGACCACCCUGUAAUGAGGGUAGAGGUUGCAUCUUGCUUUUGAAAUCUGGGGGAUUGGAAUCAUUUCCGUAACAUGGGCAGCUUGACCUCCCUGUAACUAGGGUUUGAGUCUCCCAAGCCCUUUGGGUCUCCAUUAGCUGUUAGUGAGUGUGACUGCCCUGCAAUCAGGGUGCAAGUCACCUCCCCCUAAAUGUGGGGGGGCAUUGAGCUCUUUGUUAGCUCACUGAGCAAUGUGACCGCCCUGUAACUAGGGCCCGGGUCUCUGCCCACUUGCUCAUUUGGCUUUACGCUGUGCUCUGCCCCAUUAGUCAGCGUGACAACCCUGUAAUUAGGGUCUAGGUCACAAGUUACUCUUAAAUGGGACAUAUGGAGCUCUUUGGUAAUUUCACAGCUGGACCUUCCUGUAAUUCAGGUUAUGGUCUCUCCUCUUUGGCUAAUGCCAGCGACCACCCUGUACUGAGGGGACAGGUUGCAUCUCACUUUUGAAAUCUGGGGGAUUAGAAUCAUUUCCGUAACAUGGGCAGCUUGACCUCCCUGUAACUAGGGUUUGGUCCCCGAGGCCCUUUGGGUCUCUUGGCCUCGUGCUGUCUUCACAGCAUGCUGCGAAGGACCGCCCUGUCAUCAGGGACGGGUCUUUGCCCUCUAGUCUCUUGGCACUAGGCCAAAUGCAGCCACUGCCCCGAAUGAGCACCCUGUAAACAGGGUACAGUUCUCAUCAGCUGUUAUUUAUGGUGCCCCCAUGAGACUGUGUCCAGAGUUCCAGCCCAUUAAGCAGCGCUUGCAACGUGCCUGGAAUUCUGCAGCCAAGUCUCCUGCUUUCUACUCCCUUCUUGGACUCUUGGAGACCUGACUUGCUAUUGGUGGCAUCGUGAAGCACAAGUGGAGAAGAAGGAAGUGUCAGGAAUGCCACAGACAGAGGAGAAAAGAAGAUGGAGGAAAAGGAAAGGAACUCUGGGCACAGUACCCUCCCUCAAAUCAGCCUCAGGUCAUGUAAUUAGACUGUAUGGGAAUCUGGAGCCUUUUAAUACCUUGAGCAGAGUGACCGCCCUGUAAGCUGGGUCCCGGUCUGUCCCCUUUGGACAUUCUGCUCCGUCAUCUGGCUAGUGUGCGUGACUGCCCUGUAAUCAGGGUGCCAGUCACCUCCCCCUAAAUGUGGAGGGGCAUUGAGCUCUUUCUUUAAUUGAGCAUUGUGACCGCCCUGUAACCAGGGUCCGGGUCUCUGCCCACUUGCUCAUUUGGCAUUACGCCGUGCUCUGCCCCACUAGUCAGCGUGACAACCCUGUAAUUAUGGUUCAUGUCACAAGGCUCUCCAGAAUGGGACAUAUCGAGC